rfam:Cucumis melo, WGS project CAJI01000000 data, contig: 09875
AAGUUUUAUUUGGUGAGCCAAAGAUGACUUGCCUUAAUAUAAGAAACGUAUAUAAAUGGGAGAGCUUCAAGUAUAUAGGAAGCUCUUAUUGUUUCAUAUUUAAGUUGGCAAGUUAUCUUUGGCUUACUUCAUAAACUUCU